GGCGUGCUUAACACAUGCAAGUCGAGCGAAGCACUCUGCUUUGACUCUUUCCGGGAUGAAGAAGCAUUGUGACUGAGCGGCGGACGGGUGAGUAACGCGUGGGUAACCUGCCUCAUACAGGGGGAUAACAGUUAGAAAAUGGCUGCUAAUACCGCAUAAGACCACAGCACCGCAUGGUGCAGGGGUAAAAACUCCGGUGGUAUGAGAUGGACCCGCGUCUGAUUAGCUAGUUGGUGGGGUAACGGCCUACCAAGGCGACGAUCAGUAGCCGACCUGAGAGGGUGACCGGCCACAUUGGGACUGAGACACGGCCCAAACUCCUACGGGAGGCAGCAGUGGGGAAUAUUGCACAAUGGGGGAAACCCUGAUGCAGCGACGCCGCGUGAGCGAAGAAGUAUUUCGGUAUGUAAAGCUCUAUCAGCAGGGAAGAAAAUGACGGUACCUGACUAGGAAGCCCCGGCUAACUACGUGCCAGCAGCCGCGGUAAUACGUAGGGGGCAAGCGUUAUCCGGAUUUACUGGGUGUAAAGGGAGCGUAGACGGCGAGGCAAGUCUGAUGUGAAAACCCGGGGCUCAGCCCCGUGACUGCAUUGGAAACUGUUUUGCUUGAGUGCCGGAGAGGUAAGCGGAAUUCCUAGUGUAGCGGUGAAAUGCGUAGAUAUUAGGAGGAACACCAGUGGCGAAGGCGGCUUACUGGACGGCAACUGACG
rnacentral:rRNA from 1 species